AUUGAACGCUGGCGGCAGGCUUAACACAUGCAAGUCGAGCGGGGGAAGGUAGCUUGCUACCGGACCUAGCGGCGGACGGGUGAGUAAUGCUUAGGAAUCUGCCUAUUAGUGGGGGACAACAUCUCGAAAGGGAUGCUAAUACCGCAUACGUCCUACGGGAGAAAGCAGGGGAUCUUCGGACCUUGCGCUAAUAGAUGAGCCUAAGUCGGAUUAGCUAGUUGGUGGGGUAAAGGCCUACCAAGGCGACGAUCUGUAGCGGGUCUGAGAGGAUGAUCCGCCACACUGGGACUGGGACACGGCCCAGACUCCUACGGGAGGCAGCAGUGGGGAAUAUUGGACAAUGGGGGGAACCCUGAUCCAGCCAUGCCGCGUGUGUGAAGAAGGCCUUAUGGUUGUAAAGCACUUUAAGCGAGGAGGAGGCUACUCUAGUUAAUACCUAGGGAUAGUGGACGUUACUCGCAGAAUAAGCACCGGCUAACUCUGUGCCAGCCGCCGCAGUAAAAC
rnacentral:rRNA from 1 species